AGUUCAUAGAUGCAUAAAUGGAAUAUGGCAUAACAUUUAUAGAAGCACCUAAAUCAAGCAUGGCAGAUUUGAAAUGGGUAUUACCAAUGACACACGGAAUUGUAAAACUCCCCGGAUCUUUGCAUUUGGGGGGUAGUUUAUGUUGCAAGAUGGCGGAGACAUUCUCACUUACAUGUACCACCUCUUUCUCCCGGACACGUUUCUUUGUUGUACAAAGCUUCUUUAAACACUUGGCAUACUUCAGGAUUUGCUUUAUGGCAUCAAGGAGGGGAAUGUUGACAUGCACCUUUCUAAAUGUCUCUAGAACAUCUUUUUCCUCCUAUUCGUUCUUUGAUUGCAAAAUCUGCUAGGAAAGGGGACAUUCAAAGGAAAAACAUUAGUCGGAAUUGAAUUUAACACAUUCUUACCCUUAUUGGAUGAAUUGGA
rnacentral:lncRNA from 1 species